rnacentral:tRNA from 1 species
UGUUUUUAUAGUUGAAGUACAACGAUGGUUUUUCAUAUCAUUGGUCAUGGUUAAAGUCCAUGUAAGAAU